CAGAUCAGAAGCGAGAAUGUUGACAUGAGUAGCGAUAAAGAGGGUGAGAGACCCUCUCGCCGUAAGUCCAAGGGUUCCUGCUUAAAGCUAAUCUGAGCAGGGUAAGCCGGCCCCUAAGGCGAGGCCGAAAGGCGUAGUCGAUGGGAACCAGGUUAAUAUUCCUGGGCCAGGAGGAAGUGACGGAUCUCGAAGGUAGUUUGCCCUUAUCGGAUUGGGUGGGCUGCUCAGAGGUUCCAGGAAAUAGCCCUCCAUCAGACCGUACCCUAAACCGACACAGGUGGACUGGUAGAGUAUACCUAGGCGCUUGAGAGAACCACGUUAAAGGAACUCGGCAAAAUGCCUCCGUAAGUUCGCGAGAAGGAGGCCCCAUAUCUGGGCAACCAGGUGUGGGGGGCACAAACUAGGGGGUGGCGACUGUUUACUUAAAACACAGGGCUGUGCGAAGCCGUAAGGCGACGUAUACAGUCUGACGCCUGCCCGGUGCUGGAAGGUUAAAAGGAGGGGUGCAAGCUCUGAAUUGAAGCCCCAGUAAACGGCGGCCGUAACAAUAACGGUCCUAAGGUAGCGAAAUUCCUUGUCGGGUAAGUUCCGACCUGCACGAAUGGCGUAACGAUCUCCCCGCUGUCUCUAACGUGGGCUCAGCGAAAUUGAACUGUGUGUCAAGAUGCACACUACCCGCGGUUAGACGGAAAGACCCCAUGCACCUUUACUCCAGCUUUGCACUGGUAUCAGGAUUGUGAUGUGCAGGAUAGGUGGUAGGCAUCGAAGCGGGGACGCCAGUUCUCGUGGAGCCUCCCUUGAGAUACCACCCUUCGCCAUCUUGAUAUCUAACCGCGGCCCGUUAUCCGGGUCCGGGACCCUGCAUGGUGGGGAGUUUGACUGGGGCGGUCGCCUCCCAAACAGUAACGGAGGCGCGCGAAGGUAGGCUCAGACCGGUCGGAAAUCGGUCGUUGAGUGCAAUGGCAGAAGCCUGCCUGACUGCAAGUCUGACAAGACGAGCAGAGACGAAAGUCGGUCAUAGUGAUCCGGUGGUCCCAAGUGGGAGGGCCAUCGCUCAACGGAUAAAAGGUACGCUGGGGAUAACAGGCUGAUGAUGCCCAAGAGUCCAUAUCGACGGCAUCGUUUGGCACCUCGAUGUCGGCUCAUCUCAUCCUGGGGCUGGAGCAGGUCCCAAGGGUAUGGCUGUUCGCCAUUUAAAGAGGUACGUGAGCUGGGUUUAGAACGUCGUGAGACAGUUCGGUCCCUAUCUGCCGUGGGUGUAGGAGACUUGAGAAGAGUUGCCCCUAGUACGAGAGGACCGGGGUGAACGAACCACUGGUGGACCAGUUGUCGUGCCAACGGCAGUGCUGGGUAGCUAUGUUCGGACAGGAUAACC
rnacentral:rRNA from 1 species